rnacentral:rRNA from 1 species
AUUGAACGCUGGCGGAAGGCCUAACACAUGCAAGUCGAGCGAGAGGCGGACGGGUGAGUAAUGUUUGGGGACUGCCCGAUAGAGGGGGAGAACGAAUGGAAACGGUGGCUAAUACCGCAUACUGUCGGAUAACCCAUAUGGGUUUAGCUAGUAGGUAAGGGACUGGCUUACCUAGGCGACGAUCCCUAGCUGGUCUGAGAGGAUGAUCAGCAACACUCGGACUGAGAUACGGCCCAGAAUCCUACGGAGGCAGCAGUGGGUAACAUUACACAAUGGACGCAAGCCUGAUGCAGCCAUGCCGAUUGUAUGAAGAAGGCCUUAGGGUUGUAAAGUACUUUCAGUCGGGAGGCGUUACCGUCAGAAGCAGCACCGGCUAACGCCGUGCCAACAGCCGCGUUAAUAC